rnacentral:rRNA from 3 species
UUGACCUCGAAUCAGGUAGGGAUACCC